GUGGGGAAUAUUGGACAAUGGGCGAAAGCCUGAUCCAGCCAUGCCGCAUGUGUGAAGAAGGUCUUCGGAUUGUAAAGCACUUUAAGUUGGGAGGAAGGGCAUUAACCUAAUACGUUAGUGUUUUGACGUUACCGACAGAAUAAGCACCGGCUAACUUCGUGCCAGCAGCCGCGGUAAUACGAAGGGUGCAAGCGUUAAUCGGAAUUACUGGGCGUAAAGCGCGCGUAGGUGGUUCGUUAAGUUGGAUGUGAAAGCCCCGGGCUCAACCUGGGAACUGCAUCCAAAACUGGCGAGCUAGAGUACGGUAGAGGGUGGUGGAAUUUCCUGUGUAGCGGUGAAAUGCGUAGAUAUAGGAAGGAACACCAGUGGCGAAGGCGACCACCUGGACUGAUACUGACACUGAGGUGCGAAAGCGUGGGGAGCAAACAGGAUUAGAUACCCCGGUAGUCC
rnacentral:rRNA from 1 species